rnacentral:rRNA from 1 species
GACGAACGCUGGCGGCGUGCUUAACACAUGCAAGUCGAACGGAAAGGCCCUGCUUGCAGGGUACUCGAGUGGCGAACGGGUGAGUAACACGUGGGUGAUCUGCCCUGCACUUCGGGAUAAGCCUGGGAAACUGGGUCUAAUACCGGAUAGGAGCCAUUUUUAGUGUGAUGGUUGGAAAGUUUUUUCGGUGUAGGAUGAGCUCGCGGCCUCUCAGCUUGUUGGUGGGGUAAUGGCCUACCAAGGCGGCGACGGGUAGCCGGCAUGGGAGGGUGGACGGCCAAAUUGGGACUGAGAUACGGCCCAGCCUCCUACGGGAGGCAGCAGUGGGGAAAAUUGCACAAUGGGGGCAAGCCUGAUGCAGCGACGCCGGGUGGGGGAUGACGGCCUUCGGGUUGUAAACUCCUUUCGCUAGGGACGAAGCUUUUUGUGACGGUACCUAGAUAAGAAGCACCGGCUAACUACGUG